GAAACUCUGCCUAGGCAUGUGAGCAGAGAAGCUCAAGGCAGCCCCACAGUCGCCCAAGGUCACUUCCCACCCCCUACAGCUUCCUCCAUGGCCUGGCAGACAGGCCCACAUGAUGCCGGAGGUCAAGGCGUGCUUAGCGCCCGCGGAGCAAUGGCAGAGCCAGUCAGGCAGUUCCCCCAGCCCUCGACCGAGCCAUGGAGCCAGUGGCCGCUGCCUGAGGCAGCUCUGCCUGAAGACGCAAGCGGACCGGGCACAGGUUUGCCAUUGAUCCAACUCUGAUCAUUGGUGCUUGUGUCCCAUGGACGCUGCUCCAGUAAGUACGCUGACUCCUCCGAGUCUGUUUUGGUGCUCAGCCUCUCUACACUAGGCCUCCACCAGCCCCUGCUGGGGCAAGCCACCUUCUCACACUGCUCUGGCUGCAGCAGGGAACUCACUUCCGGUUCCUUCCUCGUAUCAUCCUGCGGCAGUUUUAAACCAGUGCCUGUGUUCUGCCCUGUGAAUCGGUGCCGGCAUGCACUUACGAGGUAUGCCCAUGCCAGAGGCACGUGCUCACUCCCUUCUUCCGCUGCCGGCAGCCCAUUGGCUUGUGAUCCUGGCAUCUGUGCAAUUCUUUAAAAGUGGUCAUGACAGCUGGAUCCUGAUUCUGCACUGGUUACUACAAGGCCCUUGCUGUGAUUGCCAGACCCACCACAGCCACUGCUGGACCCACUGCCAUUGCAGCUGCUGUUCUUGCAGAUCCAGCUCAACAGAAGUCCCACUGUCUGGAUUCAGCCCAAGACCUAAUGUGAAUUUGACACCUUUGCUGUAGGGUUUCAAGGUUAAAGUGUUUUUUUAAAGAAGGGUUUGAAUGCCACACAGAGAUGGAGAAAACAUCUGAACCAAUUUGGAAAUAAAAUGUUGAUUGAAGUAUAAAGGUGAAGAAUGCUUUGCUCCCUCUUCCUUCCAAAGGAAGCUACUCAAAAUACUGUUCCUAAUAGACAAUAAUGAUUGGCAAUUAAAUUGACAGUAUGUAAAAAAAAUUGUGCCUCAUCCCAUUUGUUACCACAAAAGGGAAGUUAUACAGGAGUGGGGAAGAAAAAAGGAGCAUCUAUCAACUCUUAAACUAAGAUUUUAUUCAUGCAAUUGUACAGCUAUAAUUAUGUAUGGAUAGCAAUGCUCAUACAAUAGCUCAGGUUACCAACCCUUUACUGGGGAAUCCAGCAGGUUCUUGGUUUCCUGUUUCUCAUGGUGGUGUUUUUUCUUCCAAGACGUAACUCAAGGCCCUUCUUCUAUAUCCAAGCAGCUAACUGACUAUACAAAGCAGCUAGCCAUAUAAAUAAUCUACUUAGUUAUGUAAAACAUCUAGUCUAGCACACACUUUUGUUUAAAGGACUGUUGGCACCUGAUCCAACUGGUUGGAACUGGGACAGGAAACUUUACACAUUUUGAGAGCUGAGGGGUCUAUUCAAAUUAAAAGAGCUCUCCCAUAGGUAUGCAAAAAUAGCUAAGGGUAGGGUCAUCAGUCUUUUAGUCAUGUAGAAUGGCUAAGGGUUGGCCUAUCAUUCCUUCAGUUGUGCAAGGACAGCUAGAGGUGGCCCCUCUGCCAAGGCUGGGCCCAUCUCCUUACACUAUGCCUCAGUCCUACCAAAUAAAGUUCUGUACAGGUUUACUGAAAUCCACUUAAGCUGUACUAUGCAUAUCUACAUGAUGAGAGGUUCAGUAAGACUUUGAUAUCACUUUCAUAUGUACCUUUAAAUGAAAAUUUACUGCAACCUGGACAGCUGUUUUCUCUUCUCCUUUUUGGCUCUGAAAUUCUUUAUUACCACUACUGAUCAUCUCUGUAUACUUAGACUGAAUACCAAAUAUUUUAUUCUGUGUUACCUCAGGAUAUCCAUAUUUACAAGCCUUUGUAAAAACAAUCAUACCAAUCCUGAAGUCUAUCUUCACCUUGGCUACUUAAAUUACAGUGUGGAAGCAAGAACAUGCUUGCCUACACCAAUGAUGGGGUGCUUAAUCUUUCCAGCAAGGGUACUACAGAUAUAUUAUUUGAAUUAUGCCUGCCCCUUUAAAAUAUUAUUUAACUUUAUUUCUAUAAUUAACCCAGAUGCAGAGACCUAACUGGCAUACCCACUUUUCUCUCCUGUACAAUGUUAUUUAUUCCUUUUCUUCUUUUUCCUCUACCUUGAAAAUCUGCAUUAACUGAACCACUGAUAAUUUUAAUAAAAAUCACCAUGAUUUCACA